rnacentral:misc_RNA from 1 species
UGAAGAAUGUAGUGUUAAUUUCCUUGUUGAAGAGGAAGAUAAACUGAUUCUGGACACUUCAUCGCCAUCUGAUGCCAUUGAUCUUUUGACGACAUCUGAUAAUCGAAUCAGUCUCCUUCUUGCAGAGGCACAACUCCUUGCAGAGGAUGUAGAAAAUUCUGUAGCCAGAUUAGACGAGACUUUCAAUACAAAAGGCGGUGAUAGAGUUGAUGAUGAGUUGA